rnacentral:rRNA from 1 species
CCAAUAGCGUAUAUUAAAGUUGUUGCAGUUAAAAAGCUCGUAGUUGAAUUUCGGGGUCAGUAGGUUGGUCAUGCCACUGGUAUGUACUGGUCUCACUGAUUCCUCCUUCCUGAUGAGCCGUAAUGCCAUUAAUUUGGUGUUGCGGGGAAUCUGGACUGUUACUUUGAAAAAAUUAGGGUGUUUAAAGCAGGCUAACGCUUGAAUACAUUAGCAUGGAAUAAUGAAAUAGGACGUUCGAUCUUAUUUUGUUGGUUUCUAAGAUUGACGUAAUGAUUAAUAGGGAUAGUUGGGGGCAUUAGUAUUCAAUUGUCAGAGGUGAAAUUCUUGGAUUUAUUGAAGACUAACUACUGCGAAAGCAUUUGCCAAGGAUGUUUUCAUUAACCAAGAACGAAAGUUAGGGGAUCGAAGACGAUCAGAUACCGUCGUAGUCUUAACCAUAAACUAUGCCGACUAGGGAUCGGAUGAUGUUAAUUUUUUAAUGACUCAUUCGGCGCCUUACG